CGCGAAGAACCUUACCAGGUUUUGACAUCCUGCGAAUCUCUUGGAAACAGGAGAGUGCCUUCGGGAACGCAGUGACAGGUGGUGCAUGGCUGUCGUCAGCUCGUGUCGUGAGAUGUUGGGUUAAGUCCCGCAACGAGCGCAACCCACGUCUUUAGUUGCCAGCAUUUAGUUGGGCACUCUAGAGAGACUGCCGGUGAUAAACCGGAGGAAGGUGUGGAUGACGUCAAGUCAUCAUGCCCCUUACAUCCUGGGCUACACACGUACUACAAUGCUACGGACAAAGGGCAGCAAGUUCGCGAGGACAAGCAAAUCCCAUAAACCGUGGCUCAGUUCAGAUCGUAGGCUGCAACUCGCCUACGUGAAGGCGGAAUCGCUAGUAAUCGCAGGUCAGCAUACUGCGGUGAAUGCGUUCCCGGGCCUUGUACACACCGCCCGUCACACCAUGGAAGCUGGUUACGCCCUAAGUCGUUACUCUAACCUUUUUGGAGGAGGAUGCCUAAGGUAGAAUUAGUGACUGGGGUGAAGUCGUAAUCAGUAGCC
rnacentral:rRNA from 1 species